GAAACUUCAGCAGCGCCUUCGUCGCUUUCUGGUUGAAAGCUCGAACGUUCUGGCACUUCAAAAUUGAUUGUUCAGAAAGCGGCUGGUCAUCGAGGCGUGCUAGCGUUGCUGAGAGCUGUUUUCUUUGGGAGCUAUAGUGAGGACAAUGACGCAGGACGUGCGCAAUGGUUUCCGCGUUACCACAGUGAGCACAGGCCGCACUGUCUGCCAUUCCGAUUCGGUAAGAAAAGUUGUUCGUGAAAGACACUCUAAGCCACAGGCGGCAGAUGACUGUUGUUUUGGAUCGGGAUAGUCCGAAUGGAAUUUGAAUGCCUUGGCUCUGUGGUA
rnacentral:lncRNA from 1 species